CAAAACUGUGUCCCUCUUCAUUCUGAUUUCUCAUAUAAAUACAAUGCAAUUACAAGCUUUCAAGUUGACUUUCAACCCACUAAAUUAGCUAAACUGACAUAUAUACAUUUACAUCUAAUUAUGCUAAUUGAUAGAAUGAUUAUUUGACUAUUUACAAAUAAAUGUGCAAUCUUAUAAAAUUUGAUUUGCCAUUUAUUCCAUUGACAAUAACAACAUCUUAUUUUGGUAAGUUUAUAACAUUGUAAACUUAAUUAUUUGGCAGAUUAUAACAAACGGAAUAUACCCAAGCAUUGAACACCGAGCAACAGUGAACAUAAAAAUGGAAAGACUUUCUAUAGCUACAUUUUACAGUCCUGGUUGGGAAGUAAUUUUAAGGCCAGCACCAAUCCUCGUGACUCCAAAAACACCAGCACUAUUCAAAACAUCUAUUCUGGUGUCGCACUUGUAUUCCGAAGAAGGAACUAUUAAUGGAAAUAACAUCCUAUAUUCUGGUUCCCUCAGUCCAAGAGCUAGCAAAGGAACCGUUGACCAAAGUUCCAGAUCGAUAUGUUCUUCAAGAUCAAGAAACUAUUAAUUAAGUACUAUCUAACACUACCUCUUUUCCUCAAGUUCCUGUCAUUGACCUUGCAAAAUUGUUGUCCCAAGAUAUCAAUCUCAAGAGACAUGAGCUAGAGAAGCGACACUAUAUAUGCUUGCAAAGAAUGGGGUUUCUUUCAGCUGGUUAAUCAUGGAAUAAGUACUUCCUUGGUGGAAGAUAUGAA